AUUGAACGCUGGCGGCAGGCCUAACACAUGCAAGUCGAGCGGAUGAAGGGAGCUUGCUCCUGGAUUCAGCGGCGGACGGGUGAGUAAUGCCUAGGAAUCUGCCUGGUAGUGGGGGAUAACGUCCGGAAACGGGCGCUAAUACCGCAUACGUCCUGAGGGAGAAAGUGGGGGAUCUUCGGACCUCACGCUAUCAGAUGAGCCUAGGUCGGAUUAGCUAGUUGGUGGGGUAAAGGCCUACCAAGGCGACGAUCCGUAACUGGUCUGAGAGGAUGAUCAGUCACACUGGAACUGAGACACGGUCCAGACUCCUACGGGAGGGCGCAGUGGGGAAUAUUGGACAAUGGGCGAAAGCCUGAUCCAGCCCUGCCGCGUGUGUGAAGAAGGUCUUCGGAUUGUAAAGCAAUUUAAGUUUGGAGGAAGGGCAGUAAGUUAAUACCUUGGCUUUUUGACGUUACCCACAGAAUAAGCCACGGCUAAAUUCGUG
rnacentral:rRNA from 1 species